rnacentral:rRNA from 1 species
GUACACUCCUACGGGAGGCAGCAGUGGGGAAUAUUGGACAAUGGGCGCAAGCCUGAUCCAGCCAUGCCGCGUGAGUGAUGAAGGCCCUAGGGUUGUAAAGCUCUUUCACCGGUGAAGAUAAUGACGGUAACCGGAGAAGAAGCCCCGGCUAACUUCGUGCCAGCAGCCGCGGUAAUACGAAGGGGGCUAGCGUUGUUCGGAUUUACUGGGCGUAAAGCGCACGUAGGCGGACUAUUAAGUCAGGGGUGAAAUCCCGGGGCUCAACCCCGGAACUGCCUUUGAUACUGGUAGUCUUGAGUUCGAGAGAGGUGAGUGGAAUUCCGAGUGUAGAGGUGAAAUUCGUAGAUAUUCGGAGGAACACCAGUGGCGAAGGCGGCUCACUGGCUCGAUACUGACGCUGAGGUGCGAAAGCGUGGGGAGCAAACAGGAUUAGAAACCCCAGUAGUCCCA